rnacentral:rRNA from 1 species
AUUGAACGCUGGCGGCAGGCCUAACACAUGCAAGUCGAGCGGAUGAAGGGAGCUUGCUCCUGGAUUCAGCGGCGGACGGGUGAGUAAUGCCUAGGAAUCUGCCUGGUAGUGGGGGAUAACGUCCGGAAACGGGCGCUAAUACCGCAUACGUCCUGCGGGAGAAAGUGGGGGAUCUUCGGACCUCACGCUAUCAGAUGAGCCUAGGUCGGAUUAGCUAGUUGGUGGGGUAAAGGCCUACCAAGGCGACGAUCCGUAACUGGUCUGAGAGGAUGAUCAGUCACACUGGAACUGAGACACGGUCCAGACUCCUACGGGAGGCAGCAGUGGGGAAUAUUGGACAAUGGGCGAAAGCCUGAUCCAGCCAUGCCGCGUGUGUGAAGAAGGUCUUCGGAUUGUAAGGCACUUUAAGUUGGGAGGAAGGGCAGCAAGUUAAUACCUUGCUGUUUUGACGUUACCAACAGAAUAAGCACCGGCUAACUUCGUG